rfam:Oryza glumipatula chromosome 12, whole genome shotgun sequence.
AAAAAGGCAAACCCUUAAUUUCCGUACCAACGUUUGACCGUCCGUCUUAUAUGAAAUUUUUUUAUAUUUAGUAUUUUCAUUGUUGUUAGAUGAUAAAACAUGAUUAAUACUUUAUACGUGACUUAUCUUUUUAAUUUUUUUCAUAUUUUUUUUAAAUAAGACGGACGGUCAAACAUUGGACACGGAAACUAGAGUUUGUCUUUUUU